CACGUGGCCUCAGGUCACAGCACAGUCACAUGGAGGUGACUUUCCAAGGAGGCCGAACUGACAGGGAGGGGACGUCCCGGCCAGUGGGCAGAGCCACCCAGCGUUUACAGCCCAGGGCACCAGCAGCAUGGGGCCUCUGCAGCCCCCAUGAGAGGGAACCCAACGCCCAUCACCUGCACCUGACGGAGGCGCCGCUCACAGUGGCUGCUGGGCUUUGCAGUCCACCCCCCCUCCACCCGAUGACCGAGAACCGCAGUGAUGUCCUCAUGCCCCCAGUGGGUGGGACCCUAAAAUACCACAAAUAUAUGAUAUUUCCUAAAACAAACAGAAGACUCAAAACACGUGCAUUAGUCAGAAAAGGCUCUGAAAUUUUCCAAUUAGGUUUAGCCUUUAAUACACUGCUUCAAGGAAAGCACUGUGGGCGCAGGACGACAGAUUCCUGAGGCCCACGGCUGCCAUGAACCCAGGACCAUGUGCCUCACACAGGCCACUGCUAGGUUCCAAUCACAGUCUCUC
rnacentral:lncRNA from 1 species